CUCCUAACAAUAUUAACUCAUCCACUAACAUGAUGGUCACAUCCAGAGUUUGGUAAAACGACGUAGCUGAUUUUCAUAUAACAUAAUAAACAAUUACUUACAAUCCCGAUCAGCUAUUUUCUUGUAUACAUCCAAACAAUAUAGAGCUCUACCUUUUGGUAUCUCACAAUACUUGAUAUAUGUUAAUGAUUAUGCUAGGAAUCCGAAAACUUAUCUGCAUAUGAUCGAAGAUCAAAUCUAAACUUCAGCAAACUAUCACAUGUUCUGCAGUAAGCAUGCAUCGACAUAGCUGGUGCGGGAAAAAAAGUCAGCUAGAACAUAAAUAUAUAUAAUCAAAAGAUUAUCAUUGAUUUACACGAUUAACAAUUCAAUAAAGAUUAAAUCUAUAUAACCAAUCAAGAAAAUAAAUCCAAAAGAAAGAAACAACAACUAAAUCUAACAUACAUUUGGAGGGGGAGGAAAUUUCAAUCUGCAAGACGGAGACAACACGGAUAAAAAAGAGAAUUACGGCGAUCUCAAAACACAUUUGGGAUAAUAAUAAAUAUUUUAAAAAUAAAUAAAUAAUAAAAUUAAGCUUACUUUGAACCAAAAUGAAGAGUAGAAGCCACAAAACAUCGUCAGUUGACUGUAAAACUCUUAUCAUUUGAACUAAUGAAUUUAUAGCUAAAAUCUAGAUUAUUAAGUUUCCAUUGUUAAUUUGUAUCUAAAAUUGGUUGAUUAUUGAUUGAAAGGUAAGUCAUAUAAUUGUAUAUAAUUUUAUUCUUUCCAAAAUUUGUUAUUUCUCUAAUCAAUCCAUAUUCACAAUAGUCAAAUAUAAUCUUACCUAAUAGAACACUUGCCAUGGCUAAUCAAGAACUGCUCUAGAGCCAAGUCAAUGAAGCCAUGUCCAACGGGACAACCAUUGACGGCGGCACCGACUUGGGGGUAGGGUGAGAAACGACGAGAGAGGAAGGGAGUGGCGCCGACUUGGGGCCGGACUGCGGCGAAUCGCAGCGGGAGGAGGCGGACUUUGGUGUGGAGACAGGGAAUUAAAUGAGAAUUGGAUUUGCGUGAGAGAAAAUUCAGAAAAUCGUAUAUGGUGGUUUACAGCAACUGUGCCAGGAGACAUGGUCGGAUCAGAGAAGAGAGAAUGGUACGG
rnacentral:lncRNA from 1 species